GUCGCGAUCGAAUAACGGAAGGUCGCAGGAUUUCUUAUUCUAGAAGUGCUGGUUCGAGUCCAGCUCGUGACA